GACCGACGGCGGCAAACACUCCCGAACUGUCUGGAAAAUAUGGUCGGGGCUCAUCAAUGUUCACAAUGCUCGCGAACCCGUGGCAAAAGAGGAUCGUAUAUAUAAUAUAUAAAGACGAACCUUGCGAGUAUUGUGAAACUAAACGUGUACCGGAUCCAGCGCCAGCACUACUUCUAAGUCCGGAUCUCAUCAGUGUUUGCGAUUGUCGAUAUGGUCCUAAAAAGAUAUUAAUAUGUAUUUGAAAAUCUAGGUAGAUACUGAUCUGAACCAGAUCUUGGAAUAUUAUUACGGCGAUAUUGUUGCUGUGUAGUUGUUGCAGACAUUCUUCUGCCAGUUGAGGAUUGUCCGCCUGGACAAAAC